UAUGAGUAUAGGCUGCUAGGGAUGGGAAGGGGAUGAGUAUAGGCUGCUAGGGAUGGCAAGGGGAUGAGUAUAGGCUGCUAGGGAAGGGAAGGGGAUGAGUAUAGGCUGCUAGGGAUGGAAGGGGAUGAGUAUAGGCUGCUAGGGAUGAGAAGGGGAUGCGUAUAGACUGCUAGGGAUGGGAAGGGGAUGAGUAUAUGCUAAUUGGGAUGGGAAGGGGAUAGGUAUAGGGUGCUAGGGAUGGCAAGGGGAUGAGUAUAGGCUGCUAGGGAUGGGGGGGAUGAGUAUAGGCUGCU